rnacentral:rRNA from 1 species
GUGGGGAAUAUUGGACAAUGGGCGAAAGCCUGAUCCAGCCAUGCCGCGUGUGUGAAGAAGGUCUUCGGAUUGUAAAGCACUUUAAGUUGGGAGGAAGGGCAGUAAGUUAAUACCUUGCUGUUUUGACGUUACCGACAGAAUAAGCACCGGCUAACUUCGUGCCAGCAGCCGCGGUAAUACGAAGGGUGCAAGCGUUAAUCGGAAUUACUGGGCGUAAAGCGCGCGUAGGUGGUUUUGUAAGUUGGAGGUGAAAUCCCCGGGCUCAACCUGGGAACUGCCUCCAAAACUGCAUGACUAGAGUACGGUAGAGGGUAGUGGAAUUUCCUGUGUAGCGGUGAAAUGCGUAGAUAUAGGAAGGAACACCAGUGGCGAAGGCGACUACCUGGACUGAUACUGACACUGAGGUGCGAAAGCGUGGGGAGCAAACAGGGUUAGAUACCCGAGUAGUCC